rnacentral:rRNA from 1 species
AGUGAACGCUGGCGGUAUGCCUAACACAUGCAAGUCGAACGGCAGCACAGUAAGCUCUUGCUCUUACGGUUGGCGAGUGGCGGACGGGUGAGGCAUACAUCGGAAUCUACUUUUUCUUGGGUGAUAACGUAGGGAAACUUACGCUAAUACCUCAUACGACCUACGGCUUAAAUCAGUGGAUCUUCGGACCUUUCCCGAUUGAUUUAGCCGAUUUCGGAUUAGCUAGUUGGCGUGGUAAAGGCCCACCAAGGCGACGAUCCGUAGCUGGUCUGAGAGGAUGAUCAGCCACACUGGAACUGAGACACGGUCCAGACUCCUACGGGAGGCAGCAGUGGGGAAUAUUGGACAAUGGGCGAAAGCCUGAUCGAGCAAUACCGCGUGAGUGAAGAAGGCCUUCGGGUUGUAAAGCCCUGUUGUUGGGAAAGAAAAGAAGCAGGUUAAUACACCGCUGUUCUGACGGUACCCAAAGAAUAAGCAACGGCUAACUUCGUG